rnacentral:rRNA from 1 species
GACGAACGCUGGCGGCGUGCUUAACACAUGCAAGUCGAACGGAAAGGCCCUGCUUGCAGGGUACUCGAGUGGCGAACGGGUGAGUAACACGUGGGUGAUCUGCCCUGCACUUCGGGAUAAGCCUGGGAAACUGGGUCUAAUACCGGAUAGGAGCCAUCUUUAGUGUGAUGGUUGGAAAGUUUUUUCGGUGUAGGAUGAGCUCGCGGCCUAUCAGCUUGUUGGUUGGGUAAUGGCCUACCAAGGCGGCGACGGGUAGCCGGCCUGAGAGGGUGGACGGCCACAUUGGGACUGAGAUACGGCCCAGACUCCUAAGGGAGGCAGCAGUGGGGAAUAUUGCACAAUGGGCGCAAGCCUGAUGCAGCGACGCCGCGUGGGGGAUGACGGCCUUCGGGUUGUAAACUCGUUUCGCUAGGGACGAAGCUUUUUGUGACGGUACCUAGAGAAGAAGCACCGGCUAACUACGUG